rnacentral:rRNA from 1 species
GGAUUAGAUACCCUGGUAGUCCACGCCGUAAACGAUGAGAGCUAGUCGUCAGGGGGCAUGCCCUUUGGUGACGCAGUUAACGCAUUAAGCUCUCCGCCUGGGGAGUACGGCCGCAAGGUUAAAACUCAAAGGAAUUGACGGGGGCCCGCACAAGCAGUGGAGCAUGUGGUUUAAUUCGAAGCAACGCGCAGAACCUUACCACCCCUUGACAUCGCCAUCGCGGUCUCCGGAGACGGAGUCCUUCAGUUCGGCUGGAUGGAUGACAGGUGCUGCAUGGCUGUCGUCAGCUCGUGCUG